AGAAACUUAGGUUAACAUAAGACCGAGGGCCUUCAAAGCCCCUAGCAAGUUAAAUUACACUUAGUUUCUG
rnacentral:tRNA from 1 species